rnacentral:misc_RNA from 1 species
CUUUUCGCACUUGUUUUUAUGGCUGGGUAGAAUGGCAACAAAAGUUUCGUUCAUGGGAGUUACUACGUUGGCUUUUGUGGCUUCUUCUCUUCCAUGGGUUGUAGUCGGUGAGUUUGAUGAAAUAUUACAUAAUUCUGAGAAGGGGGGUGGUGUUGUUCAUGCAAAAUCUUUUAUUGAUGCUUUUCGGAAACCGUUAGGUGCGUGUGGUCUCCAGGAUUUGGGCUUUAAGGGGUAUCCUUUCACUUGGGAUAAUGGAAGAAGAAAUUCAGGCUUUGUUGAGGAGGGAUUAGAUCGUUGCCCAGCUUCAGUUGAUUGGCUGCAGCAUUUCCUUUGUGCAUGUCUUAUGCACCUCCUUUAUUCAGGUUCGGAUCGUCUGCCAGUUAUUCUUAACUUAUUUUCUGAUGUCAAUUUUACCAGUAGUCGUAGUCGUGAUUUUUGUUUUGAGGCUAUGUGGACGAGGGAUCUCACUUGUGUUGAGGUAAUUCGUGAGAGUUGGGGUCCAGUCAUGGGGUUUAGGAUUGGUCUCAAAAGGCUACUAUUUAUGCUCGAGAUUCGAGGGACUGGAGUCGAUUAGCUUUUGGCGGUUUAAAUCAGCAUAAGCGAUCCAUUGUGGCGCAACUUGGGCGUUUGGGUCCGAACUCUGGUCAGGGUGUUUUGGAACGCCUUCGUUUGAAGAGGGAAUUGCAUGAGGUUAACUUGCAAGAGGAGUUGAUGUGGCGUCAUCGAUCUCGAAUGCAGUGGUUGAAAGAAGGGGAUUGUAACACGCGUUUUUCCAUGUAGUUACUUCUAGCCGUUGUAGGGUGAAUCAUAUUGAUAAGCUUACGGAUUCUCAGGAUCAGGAACUUGUUGGUGAGGAUUCACAUGCUGUAUUCUUUAGUUUUUUCCUCUCUCUUUACUUGAUAGUCAUUGGAUUUCUAGGGUGAUGAUUUAUCCUCUAUGACUCCUAAGGUAACUGAGGAUAUGAAUUUUAUGCUGGGACAACCUUAAUUGGAUGAUGAAAUUGUUGCAGCUGUUAAAAUGAUGCAUCCUUUAAAGGAC